rnacentral:rRNA from 1 species
GACGAACGCUGGCGGCGUGCUUAACACAUGCAAGUCGAACGGUAAGGCCCUUCGGGGUACACGAGUGGCGAACGGGUGAGUAACACGUGGGUGAUCUGCCCUGCACUUCGGGAUAAGCCUGGGAAACUGGGUCUAAUACCGGAUAGGACCACUGCCUGCAUGGGUGGUGGUGGAAAGCUUUUGCGGGGUGGGAUGGGCCCGCGGCCUAUCAGCUUGUUGGUGGGGUGAUGGCCUACCAAGGCGACGACGGGUAGCCGGCCUGAGAGGGUGGCCGGCCACACUGGGACUGAGAUACGGCCCAGACUCCUACGGGAGGCAGCAGUGGGGAAUAUUGCACGAUGGGCGCAAGCCUGAUGCAGCGACGCCGCGUGAGGGAUGACGGCCUUCGGGUUGUAAACCUCUUUCAGCACCGACGAAGCGCAAGUGACGGUAGGUGCAGAAGAAGGACCGGCCAACUACGUGCCAGCCGCCGCGGUAA